rnacentral:rRNA from 1 species
UACAGAGGGUGCGAGCGUUAUUCGGAUUCACUGGGCGUAAAGGGCGCGUAGGCGGCCGUGUGUGUGAGGCGUGAAAGCCCGGGGCUUAACCCCGGAAUUGCACCUCAAACUACACGGCUAGAGCAUUGGAGAGGGUAGCGGAAUUCACGGUGUAGCAGUGAAAUGCGUAGAUAUCGUGAGGAACACCAGAGGCGAAGGCGGCUACCUGGACAAUUGCUGACGCUCAGGCACGAAAGCGUGGGGAGCAAAAGGG